rnacentral:rRNA from 1 species
UGAGUAGGGCGGGACACGUGGUAUCCUGUCUGAAUAUGGGGGGACCAUCCUCCAAGGCUAAAUACUCCUGACUGACCGAUAGUGAACCAGUACCGUGAGGGAAAGGCGAAAAGAACCCCGGCGAGGGGAGUGAAAAAGAACCUGAAACCGUGUACGUACAAGCAGUGGGAGCACGCUUAGGCGUGUGACUGCGUACCUUUUGUAUAAUGGGUCAGCGACUUAUAUUCUGUAGCAAGGUUAACCGAAUAGGGGAGCCGAAGGGAAACCGAGUCUUAACUGGGCGUUAAGUUGCAGGGUAUAGACCCGAAACCCGGUGAUCUAGCCAUGGGCAGGUUGAAGGUUGGGUAACACUAACUGGAGGACCGAACCGACUAAUGUUGAAAAAUUAGCGGAUGACUUGUGGCUGGGGGUGAAAGGCCAAUCAAACCGGGAGAUAGCUGGUUCUCCCCGAAAGCUAUUUAGGUAGCGCCUCGUGAAUUCAUCUCCGGGGGUAGAGCACUGUUUCGGCAAGGGGGUCAUCCCGACUUACCAACCCGAUGCAAACUGCGAAUACCGGAGAAUGUUAUCACGGGAGACACACGGCGGGUGCUAACGUCCGUCGUGAAGAGGGAAACAACCCAGACCGCCAGCUAAGGUCCCAAAGUCAUGGUUAAGUGGGAAACGAUGUGGGAAGGCCCAGACAGCCAGGAUGUUGGCUUAGAAGCAGCCAUCAUUUAAAGAAAGCGUAAUAGCUCACUGGUCGAGUCGGCCUGCGCGGAAGAUGUAACGGGGCUAAACCAUGCACCGAAGCUGCGGCAGCGACACUAUGUGUUGUUGGGUAGGGGAGCGUUCUGUAAGCCUGUGAAGGUGUACUGUGAGGUAUGCUGGAGGUAUCAGAAGUGCGAAUGCUGACAUAAGUAACGAUAAAGCGGGUGAAAAGCCCGCUCGCCGGAAGACCAAGGGUUCCUGUCCAACGUUAAUCGGGGCAGGGUGAGUCGACCCCUAAGGCGAGGCCGAAAGGCGUAGUCGAUGGGAAACAGGUUAAUAUUCCUGUACUUGGUGUUACUGCGAAGGGGGGACGGAGAAGGCUAUGUUGGCCGGGCGACGGUUGUCCCGGUUUAAGCGUGUAGGCUGGUUUUCCAGGCAAAUCCGGAAAACUAAGGCUGAGGCGUGAUGACGAGGCACUACGGUGCUGAAGCAACAAAUGCCCUGCUUCCAGGAAAAGCCUCUAAGCAUCAGGUAACAUCAAAUCGUACCCCAAACCGACACAGGUGGUCAGGUAGAGAAUACCAAGGCGCUUGAGAGAACUCGGGUGAAGGAACUAGGCAAAAUGGUGCCGUAACUUCGGGAGAAGGCACGCUGAUAUGUAGGUGAAGUCCCUCGCGGAUGGAGCUGAAAUCAGUCGAAGAUACCAGCUGGCUGCAACUGUUUAUUAAAAACACAGCACUGUGCAAACACGAAAGUGGACGUAUACGGUGUGACGCCUGCCCGGUGCCGGAAGGUUAAUUGAUGGGGUCAGCGCAAGCGAAGCUCUUGAUCGAAGCCCCGGUAAACGGCGGCCGUAACUAUAACGGUCCUAAGGUAGCGAAAUUCCUUGUCGGGUAAGUUCCGACCUGCACGAAUGGCGUAAUGAUGGCCAGGCUGUCUCCACCCGAGACUCAGUGAAAUUGAACUCGCUGUGAAGAUGCAGUGUACCCGCGGCAAGACGGAAAGACCCCGUGAACCUUUACUAUAGCUUGACACUGAACAUUGAGCCUUGAUGUGUAGGAUAGGUGGGAGGCUUUGAAGUGUGGACGCCAGUCUGCAUGGAGCCGACCUUGAAAUACCACCCUUUAAUGUUUGAUGUUCUAACGUUGACCCGUAAUCCGGGUUGCGGACAGUGUCUGGUGGGUAGUUUGACUGGGGCGGUCUCCUCCUAAAGAGUAACGGAGGAGCACGAAGGUUGGCUAAUCCUGGUCGGACAUCAGGAGGUUAGUGCAAUGGCAUAAGCCAGCUUGACUGCGAGCGUGACGGCGCGAGCAGGUGCGAAAGCAGGUCAUAGUGAUCCGGUGGUUCUGAAUGGAAGGGCCAUCGCUCAACGGAUAAAAGGUACUCCGGGGAUAACAGGCUGAUACCGCCCAAGAGUUCAUAUCGACGGCGGUGUUUGGCACCUCGAUGUCGGCUCAUCACAUCCUGGGGCUGAAGUAGGUCCCAAGGGUAUGGCUGUUCGCCAUUUAAAGUGGUACGCGAGCUGGGUUUAGAACGUCGUGAGACAGUUCGGUCCCUAUCUGCCGUGGGCGCUGGAGAACUGAGGGGGGCUGCUCCUAGUACGAGAGGACCGGAGUGGACGCAUCACUGGUGUUCGGGUUGUCAUGCCAAUGGCACUGCCCGGUAGCUAAAUGCGGAAGAGAUAAGUGCUGAAAGCAUCUAAGCACGAAACUUGCCCCGAGAUGAGUUCUCCCUGACUCCUUGAGAGUCCUGAAGGAACGUUGAAGACGACGACGUUGAUAGGCCGGGUGUGUAAGCGCAGCGAUGCGUUGAGCUAACCGGUACUAAUGAACCGUGAGGCUUAACCUUACAACGCCGAAGGUGUUU